GGAGGCUACCGCUAUUGGAAUCCGAUUAAGCCAUGCGAGUCGAGAGGGUUAAGCCCCUCGGCGGACGUCUCAGUAACACGUGGAUAAUCUGCCCUUGAGUGGGGGAUAAACUCGGAAACCUGAGUAUAAUACCCCAUAGGCCUAGGAUGCUGGAAUGCUUCUAGGCUCAAAGCUCCGGCGCUCAAGGAUGAAUCUGCGACCUAUCAGGCUGUAGUGGGUGUAACGGACCCACUAACCUUCGACGGGUACGGGCCUUGAGAGAGGUUGCCCGGAGUUGGACUCUGAGACACGAGUCCAGGCCCUACGGGGUGCAGCAGGCGCGAAAACUUCACAAUGUGGGAAACCGCGAUGAGGGGAUUCCAAGUGCCAACACUUAGUGUUGGCUGUUCACCUGCCUAAAAAGCUGGUGAAGUAAGGGCCGGGUAAGACGGGUGCCAGCCGCCGCGGUAAUACCUGCGGCCCGAGUGGUGGUCGUUAUUAUUGAGCCUAAAGCGUCCGUAGCCGGUUCAGUAAAUCUCUGGGUAAAUCGGGCAGCUCAACUGUCCGACUUCCGGAAAGACUGCUGAACUUGGGACCGGGGGAGGUUGGAGGUACUCCUGGGGUAGGGGUGAAAUCCUGUAAUCCUAGGGGGACCACCAGUGGCGAAGGCGUCCAACCAAAACGGCUCCGACGGUAAGGGACGAAGCCCUGGGGCGCAAACGGGAUUAGAUACCCCGGUAGUCCAGGGUGUAAACGCUGCAGGCUUGGCGUUGGGGGUCCUACGAGGGCGCCCAGUGCCGGAGAGAAGUUGUUAAGCCUGCCGCUUGGGGAGUACGUCCGCAAGGAUGAAACUUAA
rnacentral:rRNA from 1 species